UUGCUUCCACAGCAUAUAUACUAAAAUUGGGACUAUACAGAGAUUAGCGUGGCCCUUGCUCAAGGAUGGCACACAAAUUUGUGAAGUGUUCCAUAUUAAA
rnacentral:snRNA from 1 species